AUCACUUAUGGACCUUAUUAAAAAUGCAGAUUCUGAUUCAGCAGACACUGGAUAGGACCUGAGAUUCUGCAUUUCUAAUAAGCCCCCAAGUGAUACCAA
rnacentral:pre_miRNA from 1 species